rnacentral:rRNA from 1 species
UGGGGAAUUUUGCACAAUGGGGGAAACCCUGAUGCAGCGACGCCGCGUGAUUUAGAAGGCCUUCGGGUUGUAAAAAUCUUUUCUAUGGGAAGAAAAUGACAGUACCAUAGGAAUAAGGACCGGCUAAUUACGUGCCAGCAGCCGCGGUAAUACGUAAGGUCCGAGCGUUGUCCGGAAUCAUUGGGCGUAAAGGGUACGUAGGCGGGUAAGCAAGUUAGAAGUGAAAUCCUAUAGCUCAACUAUAGUAAGCUUUUAAAACCGCUCAUCUUGAGGUAUGGAAGGGAAAGUGGAAUUCCUAGUGUAGCGGUGAAAUGCGCAGAUAUUAGGAGGAAUACCGGUGGCGAAGGCGACUUUCUGGCCAUAACCUGACGCUGAGGUACGAAAGCGUGGGUAGCAAGCAGG